rnacentral:rRNA from 1 species
CGUACACUCCUACGGGAGGCAGCAGUGGGGAAUAUUAGACAAUGGGCGCAAGCCUGAUCCAGCCAUGCCGCGUGAGUGAUGAAGGCCCUAGGGUUGUAAAGCUCUUUCACCGGUGAAGAUAAUGACGGUAACCGGAGAAGAAGCCCCGGCUAACUUCGUGCCAGCAGCCGCGGUAAUACGAAGGGGGCUAGCGUUGUUCGGAUUUACUGGGCGUAAAGCGCACGUAGGCGGACUAUUAAGUCAGGGGUGAAAUCCCGGGGCUCGACCCCGGAACUGCCUUUGAUACUGGUAGUCUUGAGUUCGAGAGAGGUGAGUGGAAUUCCGAGUGUAGAGGUGAAAUUCGUAGAUAUUCGGAGGAACACCAGUGGCGAAGGCGGCUCACUGGCUCGAUACUGACGCUGAGGUGCGAAAGCGUGGGGAGCAAACAGGAUUAGAAACCCCAGUAGUCCCAUGAU